rnacentral:rRNA from 1 species
AACGAACGCUGGCGGCAUGCCUAACACAUGCAAGUCGAACGAGAUCUUCGGGUCUAGUGGCGCACGGGUGCGUAACGCGUGGGAAUCUGCCCUUUGGUUCGGAAUAACAGUUGGAAACGACUGCUAACAACGGAUGAUGACGACAGUCCAAAGAUUUAUCGCCAGAGGAUGAGCCCGCGUAGGAUUAGCUAGUUGGUGUGGUAAAGGCGAACCAAGGCGACGAUCCUUAGCUGGUCUGAGAGGAUGAUCAGCCACACUGGGACUGAGACACGGCCCAGACUCCUACGGGAGGCAGCAGUGGGAAAUAUUGGACAAUGGGCGAAAGCCUGAUCCAGCAAUGCCGCGUGAGUGAUGAAGGCCUUAGGGUUGUAAAGCUCUUUUACCCGGGAUGAUAAUGACAGUACCGGGAGAAUAAGCUCCGGCUAACUCCGUGCCAGCCGCCGCGGUAA